GAUGAACGCUGGCGGCGUGCCUAAUACAUGCACGUCGAGCGAACAGACGAGGAGCUUGCUCCUCUGACGUUAGCGGCGGCCGGGUGAGUAACACGUGGAUAACCUACCUAUAAGACUGGGAUAACUUCGGGAAACCGGAGCUAAUACCGGAUAAUAUAUUGAACCGCAUGGUUCAAAACUGAACGACGGCUUUGCUGUCUCUACUAGCUGGAUCUGCGCCGCAUUAGCUAGUUGGUAAGGUAACGGCUUACCAAGGCAACGAUGCGUAGCCGACCUGAGAGGGUGAUCGGCCACACUGGAACUGAGACACGGUCCAGACGCCUACGGGAGGCAGCAGUAGGGAAUCUUCCGCAAUGGGCGAAAGCCUGACGGAGCAACGCCGCGUGAGGGAGGAAGGUCUUCGGAUCGUAAAACUCUGUUAUUAGGGAAGAACAAAUGGGUAAGUAACUAUGCACGUCUUGACGGUACCUAAUCAGAAAGCCACGGCUAACUACGUG
rnacentral:rRNA from 1 species